rnacentral:misc_RNA from 1 species
GAUGAAGAACGCAGCGAAAUGCGAUAAGUAGUGUGAAUUGCAGAAUUCAGUGAAUCAUCGAAUCUUUGAACGCACAUUGCGCCCUUUGGUAUUCCUUAGGGCAUGCCUGUUCGAGCGUCAUUUAAACCUUCAAGCCCUGCUUGGUGUUGGGUGCCUGUCCCGCCCCCGCGCGUGGACUCACCUCAAAUCCAUUGGCGGCCCCCGCAAGGCCACGAGCGCAGCAGAAACGCGAACUCGGGCCCGUCGUAUUGGCUCCCAGAAGCUAUCUUCACAAUUUUGACCUCGGAUCAGGUAGGGAUACCCGCUGAACUUAAGCAUAUCAAUAAGCGGAGGA